UACGGAGGAUGCAAGCGUUAUCCGGAAUUAUUGGGCGUAAAGCGUCCGCAGGUGGCACUUCAAGUCUGCUGUCAAAGACCGGGGCUUAACCCUGGAGAGGCAGUGGAAACUGAAGCGCUAGAGUGUCGUAGGGGUAGAGGGAAUUCCUGGUGUAGCGGUGAAAUGCGUAGAUAUGCGGAGGAACACCGAUGGCGAAGGCAAUCCCCUGGACCUGUACUGACGCUCAUGCACGAAAGCGUGGGGAGCAAACAGG
rnacentral:rRNA from 1 species